UCAGCAUUUGCUUUAAUCUGAACAGGUGAGUAAUGCUGGAAUUUUCACAGCACCAAGAAAGAAUAUUUUGGGAUGUCAGCCUACUUUUGGUUUGAAGGAAUACCUUUCCCUGCUAUAUUGUAUAAAAGAGAAAUUAUUAAAGAAAGUCAUGAUAAGUUCGUGAUCAGAGAUGAAGACACUGUCAUAGUGAGUUAUCCUAAGUCAGGAACUAAUUGGCUGAUUGAGAUUGUCUGCUUGAUUCAGACCAAGGGAAAUCCCAAAUGGAUCCAAUCUGUGCUUAACUGGGAACGCUCACCCUGGAUAGAGACUAAAAAGGGACUUCCAAUAUUGAUCAAUACGGAAGGACCACGCCUCAUGUCCUCCCACCUCCCUUUCCAUCUUUUCCCCAAGUCUUUCUUCAGAUCCAAGGCCAAGGUGAUCUAUGUCAUCAGAAAUCCCAGAGAUGUUCUUGUGUCUGGUUAUUUUUUCCUACGUAACACAAAAAUUAUUGAUAAUCCAGAGUCACUAGGAACUUACAUUGAAUGGUUUCUCAACGGAAAUGUGCCAUAUGGAUCAUGGUUUGAGCACACCCGUAACUGGCUGUCUAUGAGAGAAAAUGAAAACUUCCUGUUACUGAGCUAUGAAGACAUGAAAAAGAAUACAAGGAGAACCAUAGAGAAGAUCUGUGACUUUCUAGGAAAGAAAUUGGAGCCAGAUGAGCUAGAUCUGGUCCUCAAGUACAGCUCCUUCCAAGCCAUGAAAGAAAACAAAAUGUCUAAUUUUAGUCUUGUCCCAGAACAUAUAGUUACUAAUGGUUUGGUCCUCAUGAGAAAAGGAGGAAAUUAUUCUCAGAUUUGGGCACACAAAAAUGUCAAUUCAAGAAAAUGGUCAUCUAUACACUAAGGACUGAGGCCUAUCAGAGGAUCCACUGCCAUUGACACAUAAACUCAGACUCCUGUGCUCCAUUUUCUGUGGACAUAGAGUUCUCUGUACUACAACUCAGAACCUCAAGCACAACUGGGGACUGGAAGAAUCACUUUACAGUAGCCCAAGCUGAAGCCUUUGAUAAAGUAUUCCAGGAGAAAAUGGCUGG